rnacentral:rRNA from 1 species
GUAGGGAAUAUUGGGCAAUGGACGGAAGUCUGACCCAGCCAUGCCGCGUGCAGGAUGAAGGCGCUCAGCGUUGUAAACUGCUUUUAUCAGGGAAGAACAGUAGUGGUGCGCCAUUAUGUGACGGUACCUGAGGAAUAAGCACCGGCUAACUCCGUGCCAGCAGCCGCGGUAAUACGGAGGGUGCAAGCGUUGUCCGGAUUUAUUGGGUUUAAAGGGUGCGUAGGUGGUUUUUUAAGUCUGGUUUGAAAGCUGGUCGCUUAACGAUCAGAUGUGGCUGGAAACUGAGGAACUUGAAUGCGUUGGCGGUAGCCGGAACGGGUCAUGUAGCGGUGAAAUGCAUAGAUAUGACCCAGAACACCGAUUGCGAAGGCAGGCUACUACGACGUGAUUGACACUGAGGCACGAGAGCAUGGGUAGCGAACAGG